UAUUGUCUGAUGGCGUACAAUAAAUCUC
rnacentral:sRNA from 1 species